CGGUACAUGCCGGGGCACGCUGGUGCGUGCUGCUUUGUCUCGAGCGGCACGCAACAGCAUUCCGCGAGACGCAGGGGAUGGGAGGUGCGAUGAUCCCCCCCCCCGCGCGACCAAGCCCCCUCUUGAGGGCACUGUACGGCACGGCCCGUGCCGUACGGCACGGAGCGACAUUAACCUUGGUUAGUACUCUGUGAUUUUAUUUUGUAUCAAGUUGUACCCUAUGGUUUAUUUUGUAUUAAGUUAUGUACUCUACGAUUUUUAAACACAAGGUACUAAGUGAGAAAGUGUGAAACCAUACGGAUACUAAAGUGAGAAAAUGCGAAAACCAUAUGGUACUAACUUGAUACAUUUAAACCACAGGGUACUAAAAAAAAAGUGCAAAAUCACAUAAUCUAACUUGAUAUUAUUAAAUACUUGCUAUUAAGAUAAGAAAAAGUAAAUCACAUGCGAGUGUUUGAAGUUUUCUAAUCAAGUAUUAUUCAAAACGUCAUUUAAAAAAUAUUUUUUGUAAUGGCCCGCAGUUUUGGAACUGAACAUAAAUAUUUAACAAUGCAAGAUGACUUACCUCUGAGUUCAUCAAGUAUAAUAAUAUUCGUACGGCCGGGUUUAUUUGUUUUUUUCCUGCUAUAUUAUGCGUCCCUUGGGCACAAAACACGAGGACAUCAUGUAUCGUCGUCGUUUCCGUUUCUUCAUGAUGAUGAUGUAGAUAAUAUAAUAAUAAUAUAAUCAUAUAAUAAAAAGCUCGAAAACCAUGCACUAUGAAAGAGUCAAAAAUUAAAAGGAGAAAAGAACCGUCUCAAAGCGAUUAGACCUUUUGCGCCUAUCGCAAAUGCUUGCUCUCACCAAUUUGCUUUUCUCUCUCUCUCUCUCUCUCUCUCUCUCUCCUUUUAGUUAGUGUCGUGUGGCUUUUGUGUUCUUCCUCUUCUUGUGUGGAUGAGGAUGUUAUUAUUAUAGAAAAAUUCUAAUUUCAUGAAUGCCCUUCAAAAUUUUAAAAUUUUAUAUUUGCCCUCUAAAAGUAUGAAAAAACUUCAAAAGUAUCCCUACUGCUAGCAAUAUGUUAUAUUAGCUUCAAAAUACCAAUUUUAACCUCUAUUUUAAUUUAAUCACCACUCUCACAAAUUUUUUUUUGAAUAUAUGGAGACCCCCUCAAUUACCAUCCAUUGUGAAAUAGCCUCCUAAAUUUAACUUUUUAAUUAAAGUCUUCUUAAAUUUUAUUUUCUUAAAUUGAAUGAUUUUUUUUAUUCAAUUAGAGAUUUUAUCUAAUCGAUUAAUGAUUCAAACAAAUUUAAUAAUUUUAAUAACUUCGUAGUAUAUAAAAUUAAAUAAGUUUCUGUUCAAAAAAGAAAUUAAUAAAAACUUCAAGGAUUUACUUAAAUGACAUAUAGUUGAUAGUUUUAGUAUAAAUAUCAAAAAAUAAGUGAAAACAGCUUGGUUUUUAAACAAAAAGUGAACAAAUUAAAGGUAAAAUGGUAAUUUUAUAUUUUGAAAUAAAAUAAAAAAAUGUUAUGUUAACGGAAGUUGGUAAAAAUAACGGUGAGAUGAAAAAAAUAUUAUAUUUAGAGGGAUAUUUGUAAAAUUUAAAAAAUUAAAAGAAUAUUUAUGAUAUUACAUAAUUUUGUGAGGGUAUAAAUAAAAUUAACCCUAUUAUUAUUAUUAUUAUUAUUAUUAUUAUUAUUAGUAUUAUUUUUCUAGAUGAGGAUUCCACAUAGGAGGCAUAAAUGGGGGAGGGGGCCGGGGUUGAUUGGAUUUAAUGCAACGGGAAACGAACCUGCGUUUGUUUGCGUGGCUGGAAAGAGAAGACCGACCGACCGACCGAUCCAUGCGUACGUCUCUGACUUCCCAAUCCAAAGAGAUUGAGUCCGCUGCCUGCUGGACUACUGAUUUGAUGCAUGACGCCCAUGAUUCGCAUUUUUGACAGUCUGAACUUCCGUUCCUUACUUAUCUUGUCUUCCAAGGGCAGCUGUGACAUCCGCAGAAGCGCCGAAAGCCGGACGAGACAUAUCUAACGUUAAUAGAUAAAAUAAAAUUAAAAUUAAAAAGUCGACACACACACACACACACACGUACAAAUCAAGUUACUGGGUAAGAACAAAUUUAAAAGAGAUGCGUGCAUAUAUAGAUGACGACUAUAUAAGUAUGUGCCAAAAUAAAGUCGGUUCGGGUGAUGGAUUUUCGGCAGAAGAACUCUAUCACGGCAUUGUCAAAUAAAAGGAAUUAAGUUUUGAUAUUUCUGCUACGGUGAGGAAUAGGUUGGCCCAGAUUGCGUUAAUUUGAAGUUAUAAGAAAUUUGAUAUUCGAGUGGUUGUGCACUGAAGAGAUCAUAGAUUUAAUCUCUUACUCCUUUCGAAAACAUAGAUUUAACUUUUAUUUAUAUAACUAAAAUUAAUUAUUAUGCUAGGCAUCACAUGGAAUUAAAACUAGUAUUUUAUAUUUGUAGACUCUCUCUNUGUACCGUGCCCCCUUCUUGAGGGCACGGUACGGCACGCCCCGUGCCGUACGGCACGGAGUGACACUUAAAACCUUGGUUAGUACUCUGUGAUUUUGUUUUUGUAUCAAGUUAGUACCCUGUGGUUUAUUUUUAUAUCAAGUUAGUACUCUAUAAUUUUUAAACCACAAGGUACUAAAGUGAGAAAGUGUGAAACCAUACGGUACUAAAGUGAGAAAGUGCGAAACCAUAUGGUACUAACUUGAUACACUUUAAACCACAGGGUACUAAAAUAAAAAGUGCAAAACCACAUAGUACUAACUUGAUAAUACAUUAAACCACAUGCUAUUAAAGUAAGAAAAAGUAAAAUCACAUGCGAGUAUUCGAAGUUUUUCUAAUAAAAUAUUAUUCAAAAACGUCAUUUAAAAAAUAUUUUAUUGUAAU
rnacentral:lncRNA from 1 species